UGGGGAAUCUUGCGCAAUGGGCGGAAGCCUGACGCAGCGACGCCGCGUGGGGGAUGAAGGCCUUCGGGUUGUAAACCUCUUUCAGCAGGGAAGAAGCGGAAGUGACGGUACCUGCAGAAGAAGCACCGGCUAACUACGUGCCAGCAGCCGCGGUAAUACGUAGGGUGCAAGCGUUGUCCGGAAUUAUUGGGCGUAAAGAGCUCGUAGGUGGCUUGUCACGUCGGGUGUGAAAUCCCAGGGCUUAACUCUGGGUCUGCAUUCGAUACGGGCUGGCUAGGGUCCUUCAGGGGAGACUGGAAUUCCUGGUGUAGCGGUGAAAUGCGCAGAUAUCAGGAGGAACACCGGUGGCGAAGGCGGGUCUCUGGGAAGGUACCGACGCUGAGGAGCGAAAGCGUGGGGAGCAAACAG
rnacentral:rRNA from 1 species